CCGCGCGCCGUUUGAAAACCGAUACCGGACGGCCGUUACACAUCCCCGAAAACAAGGGGCGACACGCCAAAUGACGCCGUAAUACUUUUUCGGAACAUUCGACGCCGACGAAACGAAACACUCUGUAUGUAGCCCACGAUACCAUAAUAUUAUGUAUUAUAUUAUAUUAUCAUAAUAAUGUACCUGAUAUUAUUUAUUUAUUUACGAUAUUAUGUAGUAUAUUAUUAUUGUGUUCGAUUUAUCGGAAACCGAUACCGCGGUAAUGGUAAAAUACGUGAGCAUAAUGGCCGGUAAAUAUGUUAUAAGGUUUCGUUCUAGG